rnacentral:rRNA from 1 species
GACGAACGCUGGCGGCGUGCUUAACACAUGCAAGUCGAACGGAAAGGCCCUGCUUUUGUGGGGUGCUCGAGUGGCGAACGGGUGGGUAACACGUGAGUAACCUGCCCUUGACUUUGGGAUAACUUCAGGAAACUGGGGCUAAUACCGGAUAGGAGCUCCUGCUGCAUGGUGGGGGUUGGAAAGUUUCGGCGGUUGGGGAUGGACUCACGGCUUAUCAGCUUGUUGGUGGGGUAGUGGCUUACCAAGGCUUUGACGGGUAGCCGGCCUGAGAGGGUGACCGGCCACAUUGGGACUGAGAUACGGCCCAGACUCCUACGGGAGGCAGCAGUGGGGAAUAUUGCACAAUGGGCGGAAGCCUGAUGCAGCAACGCCGCGUGCGGGAUGACGGCCUUCGGGUUGUAAACCGCUUUCGCCUGUGACGAAGCGUGAGUGACGGUAAUGGGUAAAGAAGCACCGGCUAACUACGUG